AGGUGAUGUCUCCUGACCUUUAUCAACGGAGGCACUCGGCUCUGCUGUGGGCAUGUUACUUGCUGCCUUAGAUGCUGGUCGUCGCUGGCGGGGUGUGAGGGCGGGUUAAAUGCCCA
rfam:Bacillus atrophaeus 1942, complete genome.